CAACCUGCUGACUCGGGUAUUCUGACCCAGACUUUCUUCCUAAAAGCCCCUUUUUUUUCUCCUCAUUUCCCAAAUUUCAGUGUCCCAGUUUAUGUUUCUUAUACCCAAAGCCGCCCCUCCUCCGAGCUUUCCAGUAGACUAAUAUUUGUCUUUCCGCCUCCUCCUACUCUGCGAACAUCUGGUCUCGAGGUUUUUUUUUGAAGCCACACAAACUUCCUUGGAUAGCCUCGACAUCUUUUGAUGACUGCGUACAUGACCGUCAGUAGUUUACCGUGACCGUAAACAGUCUCCGCUCUGACCACCAACACAACGCGAGCCCCAGCCGACCGUGAAUGUUGAGACAGAGGCCUGCCUGUGAAGAGGUGGAGAGAAGAACUCCAAGCUGAAAGAGAGAGAGAGAGAGAGGAAGGGGGACGAAACACAGAAUAAAGCAAGAGACUAGAGGAAAAAAAUCUCUACGACGGAGAGAGUCAAAUGGACAGAAGCGGUGUGCGACAGAGAGGAGGAAUGCUGACGGGAAGGGCUUCGACGACCCAUUGCAGCGUGGCGAAAGGGAGACUCUCCGUUGAAAGACGGAGACGGAUGUUACCCGGCGGUUCGUCACGUCCCCCUGUGGGGUCCGGAGGGGCCCCAGCGGUGUCUCCCGCCUGCUGUCAGGCCUCUCGCUCCAUCGCCCUCUGCUCUUUUUCAACAUCUGGAGCCUGUUUAGUAUCGCAAACACUGGAGCCCCAGCCACGACAAGUCAGCUGAGAAUGACUGUUUUGGAACCUUUUUAGAGAGUGAUAGGAUUUAAGUUGAACACUACUCACCCUCCUCCAUUACCCCUAUUCAUUACAUUCAUUGUAGCAAUCAUUCCUAAUCUAGUAGCUCUAAAUCACCAGGCCUCCUUGUGCUAACCUCAAACUGCUAAAUCAUGUUUGAGUAAAAACUUUGGUAUUUUUACUGGAAGAAAAUUUGUUGUUUUUAAUGGACGAGCCUUCCAGGAAGGCAUGCGUCACCGUGGGGCGCCUCCGCGAUCUCAAUUAACAACGGCCGCUGUAGUGCUUGCAGAUGCUGCGCCGCUCGAAUUUUAACUGCCUCGGCGCUGUUUCUUUGCUUGUCAACACGAGUGAGUCACGUUUUACGCUGAGGAUUUUAUUUAUUUAUUUUUUUUUACAUAAGCUGCAAAUCACCACCAAUUUGUAGGUAUGCAUGUGUUUGCGCUCAACCCGGCCCCUGCGGCCGGAGGAUUAGAGGCGGGCAAGCGGCUCUCUGCGAAAGCGUUUAAAGCUCUGAUUUCCACGCCGCUCGCUCGGAAGAUGGGCACGCCAUUAAUUCUGAGUGGUCAGCGACGUGACCUCCGACCCCUACCCCACACCUCUCCCAGAUGCCCGCUCGUGGGAACCGAUCCUUCAAUUUGCCGCGUUGGUUCAGGGUCGCAAAGCUCUCCUCUGGUCAAAGUAGAGAUGCUACAUAAAUAAUGUUUUGGAGGUGGGGGAGUGGCAUUUGUAGCUUUUAGAUUUGAAGGUGCUGACAGCAAUUAAGUUGUUUUUUUUGUUGUUGUUUGUUUUUUUAAAUAUAUACAUAUAUGUACACGUGACACAAAGCCAACAAAGUAUCAUUGGGACACAUUUUCCGCACGCAGCUGCGCUACGGUUUGCUUGUUUGCGUGCGUGUGCGAGUGUGUGUGAACAGUCAGAAGGGGGUCGACGUGGGAGAGGUGGAGGGAGUUCCUGGGCACCGGGCCUGUGACAGUAAAACAUUUCAGAGGCCGUCCGUCAACGGCCUAAUGGCUUCAGCAGACGGGGUCUGGAUUUUGGCUUUUCCCCACCGCCGACACCAGCGGCCAUAAAACACUGCUUGUUUGGAAUGCAAGACAUGGAUCCAAAGGAUGUGAGCAGGAACGCCGCGGCUUCCAAAAUAAAAGACAUCGAGGCUUUUCUGUUUAAAAGAAAGACGUCAGAGGAUGACGGGUUUUUGCAACUCGCCGUAGUGUGAAGGCUGCGUAGACGGGGGAAGGAAGGUGUCGGUGUUUACAGGACCUUUAACACCCAGAGCCAAAAGGAAGGGAGAGUUUAAUGAGUCUGGGAAACAAAACAACAACAACAAAAAGUCACUGUCUCUUCAUUUAAUCUGAAAAAUAAGAUGAAAACAAAUUGUUAUUUUUAAUUUGUCGGGAGCUGCAGAAGGCGAUGGCUCGAUGCUUUUAAAGUGAGUUUGUGAAGGUUAUAAGCAGGUAACACCGCUGGCAUCUUCACUUAGUGUAAAUCCAGAUUAGUUGUGCCCUGAAUGAGCCUAAAACAACAUCACAGUGGUGUCAGGAAAUGCUGUUUUAUAAACAUGUGAACUGCAUUUUUAACAAAAUUCUAUUUGAUUUCUAAUUUAUUAAGGAGAAAAUGCGGUUACAUGUCAGAAAAAUAUUUAAGAAAAUUGAGAAACAAUCAUGAUUGCCUUGUAUUAAUCACAUAGUGAGCAGUUGCUGGAGGACUCGGUUGCAGACGUGAUGGUGGGGAAGAAAAAAAAGCAACAGCCCUAACCUAAGAGAAAAAAAACAAAAAGAGAGCAAUGGAAGGAAAGAGACUAAUAAACACAAAAAGACCUGAACUGAAUACAAAAUAUCUAGAAACCAAAAGGGGAAAAAGUCAAAAUCAGCAAAAGAUUCUAAACCAAAACGCCUAGAGAACAGAAACGCGACAAUUAAUCAAGGAACUGACAUGCUAGGAUCCAACCUGUACGGCAAGACCACAACAACAAUAAUGAACAGCUCUUGAGAAAUCACAAAACAAACGCAAGAAGAAAAAUCAAAACACAAACACCACAUAAGAAUCUCACACGAGAAUCUGGACCCAUCGCUUUAGAGGGAGUAACAACAACUGGGUCAAUAGAAAGACAUACAAUGUUUAGGGAAUAAAGUAAUACACAUUGGGAAAGGAGAAAAAAAUAAUCAAAAGAAGGAUACAAAAUGUGAUGUCUGAAAAUCCCUCAAGGCUUCUGAAAUAAACCAUAUCCAAACCCGCAGCAUGAUUCCUACACUGCCUGGUGCUGCCCCACCUCGUUCAUUAAGGGUGGAGGCUGGGUCACAGGUAUGAACCGCCAGACAGCAGACUGCUUAUCUACGAAGUGCUACCAGCAAGUUACCAAUCUAAUAAUAAUAAUCAAAUGAAUCAGUAGUUCUUCUAGCUGAGAUUAUGACUUGAUAAAAGAGCCUCACUGCCUAACGACGGGUUCUGUUAAUGAAUGGCUUUAAUCUCAGUUUCACAGUGUCUCUGUGUCACUGAGGUCAUUGUCAUUUGUUGUUUGCUCACAUCAACUCUCAUAAGCCACUUUCGUAGGCGUCUUCGCCAUGGAAACAGAGACGCGAGGGUGAUUAGACGUGUGAGCAAACGCACCCGAAAUGAACUCGAUGCUUUUCGGGGCCGUUAGCAGAGAGCUGAACCGAGUUGUGUUUGGUGUCCCACUGACGGCGGAUCUUUAACUUUCUAAUGAUCGUUUUGUUUUAUUUUGCUGGAUGUCUAACACUGAGCCUCUUAAGCCUCCGUUUUAUUUAAUUGUUACAGAACAAUAACCUAAAUCACCGCCUGCUAGAGCUGCCUUUGAGUGGAAGUCAGUUUAACAUUGAUAUUUGAUGUGUAUUUGCUUGAUGUUUUUGACAAAAUGUAAUGUUUAUUGCUUGUUUCAAAAUUGCUAACUGUAUGUUUUGAUGACGGGAAAUCACAUGGUCUUACCUUGUUUCUGAAAUGUGCUGUGUAUAAAUAAACCUGAUUUGACUUUAA